rnacentral:rRNA from 1 species
UACGGAGGGUGCGAGCGUUGUCCGGAAUCACUGGGCGUAAAGGGCGCGUAGGUGGCGACUCAAGUCAACGGUGAAAGCUCGACGCUCAACGUCGAGUCGGCCGUCGAAACUGGGACGCUUGAGCACUGUAGAGGCAGAUGGAAUUCCGGGUGUAGCGGUGGAAUGCGUAGAGAUCCGGAAGAACACCGGUGGCGAAGGCGGUCUGCUGGGCGAGUUGCUGGACACUGAUGCGCGACA